rnacentral:antisense_RNA from 1 species
UUCUAUGGCGGGCCGUUCAGGGUAGCCGCAAGGCUCGCCGGUUCCGUUGCUCUGGUUUGUCACCCCUGUUCGGUUUCGCCACCCUU